GGCAACUGACGGAGGUACAAGAACCUGGAAAACUGUGUACUGUACGAUUUUUACAAAGCACAAUGACUUCAUUUUAACAGUGUAAAUAAGGGGCUUUUUGUUUGGCCCUGCAAAUCAAGAACAGCAUGCAAUGACAAAGCACAUUUUCAUGUGUGUCAAAUGACAGUGACGUACCUUUUUAUGGGGGCAAAUUCCUCAGAAUAUGGAUUUCUGGACUUUUUGCAACAUAGUUUUGCAACAUACUAGGACUCAUCAAAAACCAGACGCACAGUAGAGAAAGAGUGAGCGAGGGAGAUCUCAGCGGGACCACAAAAGCCAGAAACUGUCCUGUUUUAUGGAGGUUAUCGUGCACCUGUGAGGAUAACGAAGUAAAGGGAACACAAUGUAAUAGUGUUUUCCCUUUUUUGCGCCUUUCUAAGAAUAUCUGCCCUCAGGGAUAGCACAAGCAUGGGUUUCUGUAGGGAUUUCAAUCCAGCCAGAGUCUUAUUUUAUCCCCACAGAAUUAUCCCUCAAACAUUACAAAGACACAAAUACACAGAUCCUCUUCACUGAUACUUGGUGAGCUUUAAUUCUAGCGAAGGAAACAGGGGGAUGGAAAAUGCCCUUGCGACGCACAUUGCCGGGGGCCAUGCGUAUCGAAUGAAUAGAUGUUGGAGCCUAAAAGCUUUUGGAUUCAGAUGGCACCGGUGGGGGAAGAUUCCCCUGCCAUGCCCAUCUUCUCUCCCCUCCUAAUGCAAGCAUGCUUACUGAAUACAAAGCACCAACCGUGAGGAAAGACUUCUUCCGUGAGGAAAAGCUUCUUUGUCUAUCUUACUCCAGCAGGUUAUCUGGGCUGACGGACACUCAGCCUGCUUAGUAAUCUCGCGAAUGCCGAUGUGUGCUGCGGAUGACAGAGUGUGCGUAUGGGCAGGCAUUGUACGGGGAGGUUUAUUAUUAUUAUUUUUUUGUUUUUUUCUGCGGUAUAUCUUUCGGCCCGUGCAGUGCAGAGACCCAUCAUCCCCCUCCCCAUUUCCCACUUCACUGGCAGUAAAUGAGUAAAUGGACACUAUGUGUUUGAGUAAAACAAAGGUCGGCAUGCCUUCUCUCUGCCAGCUCAUGCCAAUGCCUUUAAUCCAGCUCCUUCUUGUGCCAAUGCUGUUCCAUGUUUGGCUGCUAAACCGUGUCUUCUUAUACAAACAGUACAGAAUAAUGUUUUAAUGGUUUUAGGCCCAGUGAUCUUAUGUUUUUGGUGAAUGUGCAGGUUCAGACACGGUUCGGUUGUUAGGCCUUUGGAGAUUAAAGGUUUAAAGGUUAGCGGGUCGAAAUGUUGUAACAAUGUCGAGACAAUGUUGAGAGCUGUGAACAAUUGAGCAAUUUUGGUUUUGUACUAUUUAUUUAUUAUUUGCCUGUUUCUGUUUUUGCCCAUAUAUAUACAUAUUUAUUAACGCCAGUUUGUUAUCAUGCAUUCUUUGUUUCUUUGUUUGUAAGUUGAUGCUGGGGAUGCGAGGAGGAGGGGAGGGGUUGGGGGUUGGAGCAGGAGAUGGGGCGGGGCUAAAAUCCAAAUUGCAUAUUUAAAAUUGUUGUGUACAAAAAAAAAUCCUAGAACUUUUAAAGGCUAUAACUGGUAUAUACAUACAGUCAUUUUACAGAAAAGUCUUAAACGAUUGUUACCUGACCUGAAUGCAUCUGUUUGGGUUUUACAGUGUUGGAAUGUUGCGUUUGGACUGCACUUUUCCAAAGCUUUGCAAAGUUUCAUGAUCCAGAUCCGAAUGGGUUCCUCCUUUCUUAGUGUUGUCUGGAUUGCUCUUUUUUUCUCCACUAUUUGAAAAAUAAAGCCACUGAAAUAUGCGUGCCGUUCA
ensembl:lncRNA